UACGUAGGACCCGAGCGUUGUCCGGAUUUACUGGGUAUAAAGGGUGCGUAGGCGGUCUUGUGCGUCAGAGGUGAAAUCUCCGGGCUUAACCCGGAGGGUGCCCUUGAUACGGCAGGACUUGAGUGCGGGAGAGGGUGAUGGAAUUCCUGGUGUAGCGGUGAAAUGCGUAGAUAUCAGGAGGAACACCGGUGGCGAAGGCGGUCACCUGGCCCGUAACUGACGCUGAGGCACGAAAGCGUGGGGAUCAAACAGG
rnacentral:rRNA from 1 species